rnacentral:rRNA from 1 species
UACGUAGGAUGCGAGCGUUAUCCGGAUUUAUUGGGUUUAAAGGGUGCGUAGGCGGACGCUUAAGUCAGCGGUAAAAUUGCGGGGCUCAACCUCGUCGAGCCGUUGAAACUGGGUGCCUUGAGUGGGCGAGAAGUACGCGGAAUGCAUGGUGUAGCGGUGAAAUGCAUAGAUAUCACGCAGAACUCCGAUUGCGAAGGCAGCGUACCGGCGCCCAACUGACGCUGAAGCACGAAGGCGUGGGUAUCGAACAGG